UGGGGAAUUUUGGACAAUGGGCGAAAGCCUGAUCCAGCAAUGCCGCGUGUGUGAAGAAGGCCUUCGGGUUGUAAAGCACUUUUGUCCGGAAAGAAAUCCUUGGCUCUAAUACAGUCGGGGGAUGACGGUACCGGAAGAAUAAGCACCGGCUAACUACGUGCCAGCAGCCGCGGUAAUACGUAGGGUGCAAGCGUUAAUCGGAAUUACUGGGCGUAAAGCGUGCGCAGGCGGUUUGCAAGACCGAUGUGAAAUCCCCGGGCUCAACCUGGGAACUGCAUUGGUGACUGGCAGGCUAGAGUAUGGCAGAGGGGGGUAGAAUUCCACGUGUAGCAGUGAAAUGCGUAGAGAUGUGGAGGAAUACCGAUGGCGAAGGCAGCCCCCUGGGCCAAUACUGACGCUCAUGCACGAAAAGCGUGGGGAGCAAAACAGGAUUAGAUACCCUGGGUAGUCCACGCCCUAAAACGAUGUCAACUAGUUGUUGGGGACUUCAUUUCCUUAGUAACGUAGCUAACGCGUGAAGUUGACCGCCUGGGGAGUACGGUCGCAAGAUUAAAACUUAAAUGAAUUGACGGGGUCAUAGCUGUUUCCU
rnacentral:rRNA from 1 species